UCCUUUGUUGCCAGCGGUCCGGCCGGGAACUCAAAGGAGACUGCCAGUGAUAAACUGGAGGAAGGUGGGGAUGACGUCAAGUCAUCAUGGCCCUUACGACCAGGGCUACACACGUGCUACAAUGGCGCAUACAAAGAGAAGCGACCUCGCGAGAGCAAGCGGACCUCAUAAAGUGCGUCGUAGUCCGGAUUGGAGUCUGCAACUCGACUCCAUGAAGUCGGAAUCGCUAGUAAUCGUGGAUCAGAAUGCCACGGUGAAUACGUUCCCGGGCCUUGUACACACCGCCCGUCACACCAUGGGAGUGGGUUGCAAAAGAAGUAGGUAGCUUAACCUUCGGGAGGGCGCUUACCACUUUGUGAUUCAUGACUGGGGUGAAGUCGUAACAAGGUAACCGUAGGGGAACCUGCGGUUGGAUCACCUCCUU
rnacentral:rRNA from 1 species